rnacentral:misc_RNA from 1 species
CGCAGCCGCGGUAAUUCCAGCUCCAAUAGCGUAUAUUAAAGUUGUUGCAGUUAAAAAGCUCGUAGUUGAAUUUCGGGGUUAGUAGGUUGGUCAUGCCUCUGGUAUGUACUGGUCUCACUGAUUCCUCCUUCCUGAUGAGCCGUAAUGCCAUUAAUUUGGUGUUGCGGGGAAUUUGGACUGUUACUUUGAAAAAUUAGAGUGUUUAAAGCAAGCUAACGCUUGAAUACAUUAGCAUGGAAUAAUGAAAUAGGACGUUCGAUCCUAUUUUGUUGGUUUCUAGGAUUGACGUAAUGAUUAAUAGGGAUAGUUGGGGGCAUUAGUAUUCAAUUGUCAGAGGUGAAAUUCUUGGAUUUAUUGAAGACUAACUACUGCGAAAGCAUUUGCCAAGGAUGUUUUCAUUAAUCAAGAACGAAAGUUAGGGGAUCGAAGACGAUCAGAUACCGUCGUAGUCUUAACCAUAAACUAUGCCGACUAGGGAUCGGAUGAUGUUAAUUUUUUAAUGACUCAUUCGGCGCCUUAC